GUUUAUCUUUGGCAAAACAUAUAUUAAACUUGGGGCACUGCAGAGGCGACUAGCAUGGGCCCUGAGCAAGGCUGGCGUGCAAACGUGUGUCAUAAGAAGCAUUCCAUACUUUU
rnacentral:snRNA from 14 species